rnacentral:rRNA from 1 species
AACGAACGCUGGCGGCAUGCCUAACACAUGCAAGUCGAACGAGACCUUCGGGUCUAGUGGCGCACGGGUGCGUAACGCGGGGGAAUCUGCCCUUGGGUUCGGAAUAACAGUUGGAAACGACUGCUAAUACCGGAUGAUGACGUAAGUCCAAAGAUUUAUCGCCCAGGGAUGAGCCCGCGUAGGAUUAGCUAGUUGGUGGGGUAAAGGCCUACCAAGGCGACGAUCCUUAGCUGGGCUGAGAGGCUGAUCAGCCACACUGGGACUGAGACACGGCCCAGACUCCUACGGGAGGCAGCAGUGGGGAAUAUUGGACAAUGGGCGAAAGCCUGAUCCAGCACUGCCGCGUGAGUGAUGAAGGCCUUAGGGUUGUACAGCUCUUUUACCCGGGAUGAUAAUGACAGUACCGGGAGAAUAAGCCCCGGCUAACUCCGUG